rnacentral:rRNA from 1 species
AUAGGCAAAUCCGUUCUAACAAUUCUGAGGCGUGAUGGGGAAGGUUCUAAGGAACCGAAGUAUCUGAUUCCAUGCUUCCAAGAAAAGCAUCUAGAAAGAGAAAUAGUGCCCGUACCGCAAACCGACACAGGUAGGUGAGGAGAGAAUCCUAAGGCCGGCGGAAGAAUUGCAGUUAAGGAACUAGGCAAAUUGACCCCGUAACUUCGGGAGAAGGGGUGCCUGCGAGAGCAGGCCGCAGAGAAUAGGCACAAGCAACUGUUUAACAAAAACACAGGUCUCUGCUAAAGCGAAAGCUGAUGUAUAGGGGCUGACGCCUGCCCGGUGCUGGAAGGUUAAGGGGAACACUUAGCGUAAGCGAAGGUGUGAACUUAAGCCCCAGUAAACGGCGGCCGUAACUAUAACGGUCCUAAGGUAGCGAAAUUCCUUGUCAGGUAAGUUCUGACCCGCACGAAUGGCGUAAUGACUUGUGCACUGUCUCAACUGCAAAUCCGGCGAAGUUGUAGUGCGAGUGAAGAUGCUCGCUACCCGCGAUUGGACGGAAAGACCCCGUAGAGCUUUACUGUAGCUUAGCAUUGAAUUUCGGUAUUGUCUGUACAGGAUAGGUGGGAGACUGGGAAAUCAGAGCGUCAGCUUUGAUGGAGUCAUCCUUGGGAUACCACCCUGAUAGUACUGGAAUUCUAACUGGAUGCCAUGAAUCUGGUGACAGGACAUUGUUAGGUGGGCAGUUUGACUGGGGCGGUCGCCUCCUAAAAAGUAACGGAGGCGCCCAAAGGUUCCCUCAGAACGGUCGGAAAUCGUUCGUAGAGUGCAAAGGCAUAAGGGAGCCUGACUGCGAGACCUACAAGUCGAGCAGGGACGAAAGUCGGGCUUAGUGAUCCGGUGGUACCUCGUGGGAGGGCCAUCGCUCAACGGAUAAAAGCUACCUCGGGGAUAACAGGCUGAUCUCCCCCAAGAGUUCACAUCGACGGGGAGGUUUGGCACCUCGAUGUCGGCUCGUCGCAUCCUGGGGCUGAAGUAGGUCCCAAGGGUUGGGCUGUUCGCCCAUUAAAGCGGCACGCGAGCUGGGUUCAGAACGUCGUGAGACAGUUCGGUCCCUAUCCGUCGCGGGCGCAGGAAAUUUGAGAAGAGCUGUCCUUAGUACGAGAGGACCGGGAUGGACCGACCUAUGGUGUACCAGUUGUUUCGCCAGAAGCAUAGCUGGGUAGCUAAGUCGGGACGGGAUAAACGCUGAAAGCAUCUAAGCGUGAAGCCUCCUUCAAGAUGAGAUUUCCCAUAGCGUAAGCUAGUAAGACCCCUUGAAGACUACAAGGUUGAUAGGUCAGAGGUGUAAGUGUGGCAACAUAUUUAGCUGACUGAUACUAAUAGGUCGAGGGCUUGACCAAU